GAUCUGAUAAUCUCUCUUUCCUCCAGCCAGGAUGAUUUGUGCUACUGUGUAAUGAGAGAAAUCCUGCAUCUUUGGCUAUUCAUGGGUCUGAAAUACAGCCUGCUGCAGCUGAUAAGGUAUAAUGGGUUUCAGUGAGCUUCAGCAUCUCUGAACUGAACACAGCAGAGAGCCAACAUGACUGAAGUUUCUAAGUCCAACUGUAAGAUAGACUGAAAAAAAGGGAGUACAAGGAGUAAAUAGAUGGAAACAGAAAGUGAAUUUUGGUUGUGGAUGAGUAAAUAAAGAUGCAUUGAAAGCUGGCAAAAUGAGACUCACAGGACAGUUCCCCUUCUCCCAGACCUGUUUCAUCUCAGAUAAGGGAAAUUAGAGCCAGGCCCACAAGGCUGCAAGAAAAAUUGGCCUAAUGUUGGCUCUCCUGUGCCAGCUUCUGAACUGGAUCAUGAGGAGUCUGAGAUACACCAAAGCACACAGACCUGUCUGAAAAAAAGCAGACUCAAACCUGUACCCAGGAUGACAGUUGCAGAGUUCGCUGGUACUGCCACAGCACCUUCAAUGCAGAUUGAUGCCAAUGGUGACAGCCCAGAGCUCAUCACAGACCCUCUCAGCCACUUUCAUGGACAAAUGAAUGGGGAAAAACAGAAAACUCCAUACUGUCACCGCAUUCAUCAGGCUGGACUCUCAUCCAAGAUGUCAUUUCUCUCAAGCUGCUUGGUUCAGCUUUAAAAGUGGGAACUAUUUAACUAAGGAAUGAUGAGAUAAGCUCCAUUGUUGGUUCUUUUGAGUAUUCCUCAGAUGGUUAAGCUUACUACAAGACUCUAAUAUUAAAGAUUUCUAGAAGAUAGAGAACCUCUCUAAAGCUUUCAAGACAGUAUGUCUGAGUGCACCACAACAUGAAAUCUAUAAGCCAUCUGCUCCUGCUAAUAUCCCAUUGAAGAUGAAGAAUGUAUUCAGCUGCUUCUUCUAUAUGCAACUCUAUGCAGAUCCAAUACAAAUAUUAUGGAUAUUGUACCAGGAAAACUACAAUACGGCACAAAAGGAAAACUGUGACCUAAGAACUCUGAGAAACAAAUGGGAAAGAAUGAAAAGUCUGAUCUUGUGACUCCAUUUGGAUUCUUCAUCCAGCACUGUGGAGAAAUUACAUAGAAAGAGAUGAAGUUCCUGCUAUUGCUGUAGGAGGAAUAACAAUAUAACGGAGAAGAACAAAGAAUAAUCUUAAGUUAUGCCACAGGGAAUCAGCUGUGGUUCUCCUGCGCUAGAGGUGAGCAAGGACAGCACCUAAGUUGGGAAGUCUUCAGAUUCAAGCCUACCAUCUUCUGCCUCCUCCCAACUUUUGCAUAUCUCAGCAAAUUAUCCCAGCUGUGAACCAUUCAAGGAGUGAGUUUCUUAUUUCCACUUGUCUGUAAUCGGGGCUUUAAAAAAUGCUGAUACAAAAUCAAAGUUCAUCCAGAAGGAAUAUAAAAAGGGUGAAACAGCAGGACAAUGUAAAUUCAAGACCUCCGUAUUAUCUGCUAAGUUAGAAGGAACUAAAUGUUUAUAUGGCAAGUUCUCGGGCUCUCGGCAUAUGCAGGUAAGCUUGCAGCCAAGAGACAUAAGCCAAGCACUUAAUUCUCCUCAUAUGCCCUGCAUCCAGUUUUCCUGGGUACUGAAGUUUUCCAGCGGCCCCUGCAAUGCACAGAUGAGCUCCAUGUUCCAGCCCCUUCUCCCCCUCGGUACAGUUGGGAACAUGCUGCGGAGGACAUCCCAUACUCAGCUCUUGCAUCUUAGGUGCCUGUCCCAACUUCUGUGAGACACAGGGAGACAAAGGAUGUUUUGGCACUUGUAGAAUGCAACCCUCCAAAACAGAGAAAUGACGAGAUUUUAAGCCUUGCCUGUCUGCCUAGCACUCAAGUAAGACACAAGCAGUAACAGCUGGGUCAGCUAUGAGAAAAUUCUUUCACAUGAUUAAUACAGAGAGGCAGUUGUGACUUUUUUAAAUCCCGGAGUCUUUUUUGUUCUGUAUUUUUCCAUACUGAAAACCAGGCAGCUCCUCAGGAAGAAAGGAGUAAUGUUUCUAUUUGAGAAAGUAAGUGCCUUAGAGAAUGAUGUGGCUUACUAGACAUCAUGCACAAACCACAGUGUCUUCUGUCUGAGGAUUUGCAAAGUAAGCGCUGGAUUUCUCCUUACCACCCAAGGUACUUUGAAAUGACCACAUGGCAGGAUCUAAAGGAAAAUGCUGAAUACAAUGGGAUAUUUUCCGGUGAUGGUCAAAUGUUGCGCUGCAGAGAUUUCAGUAAUAGAGAAAUAGAUUAUCAAGAGAUGGUAGCCAGGUAAUGUUAUGAUAAGUAGGCUCUUGAUUUAGGCCAAAAUCAAAACAACCUGAACUGAAUGGUGCAGUGUGAAAGAUGAGGCAGAUGUCUUCACACCUGAUCCCUUCAAGGCCUAGAUCUCUUUGUUUUGCCAUUGAAAGUCCCUCUGAUGAAGCACAGAGCAGAAAAACAAACGUGGAAGCCAGACAUCAGUCUCAGCAAAGUAAUAAUAUAUAAUUAUCAAAGUUCACAGAGUAAUCAGGGUGAAACUACCCAAAAAGCACCUUUACUUGCAUCCUCACCAGCUUCACUGGUAGUCAGCAAGUGAGAUUUGAUCUUACAGCUCUUAAUAGAUUUCUAUAUAUUAGCAUUGAAAGAAAGGAUUUCAAAGGAAUCAUAGCCUGAAGUCUGCUAGUGUCUAUCUAUCUUUUCCUCAAGGGAUAAAUUACAGAAAAGUAAUUUUUAACAAAUAGGAACAAAAGAUGUGAGAGUGAUUUGAAAUAUUAGCAAGUUAAUUAAUGUUUUAAUACAUUUUUUAAAGGUAGAUCUAAAAAUAACCUUGGGUAUUUAUAUACGUAGAUAUAGUUCUAGCUGACAACAUUAUAGAUACAAUGUCAGAAAAUCAUGGUUCAGAAGAGGAAAAUCUGAACAAAGCACAGGAUUUAUUUUCAUCUAUAAAAGAGUUGUUGAAAUCCUGUUCAUUUUUUUUCUUUUUCCAAAGCCAAUGUUAUCCUGACUUUUCUAUUUUGUUCUGUUUUUCCUGAAUUUGUCCUUAGAUAGUCUCAACAGUAAUGAAAUGAGUCAGAAGAUCCAAUGUUUUUUUUUUUUUUUAAAAAAUAACAGUUUUUUUCACAACUGUAUCAAGAACAGAGGUCUAAUUUCCCUCUGCCACUAUAAUACUAAAACCUUCAUUGAAAUGAAAAAAAUCAUUGAUAAAAUCACCACGAGCAACCCAUCAAAAUCCAUAUGAAAGUUUGUAUGGGAACUGUUAGGUCACAGCCUGCACUUGUGAUUGAGCACCUGGGGAAGAGGUGUGACUAGCCCUAGGAGCACAGGUGCAGGCAAUUCACCUGCUAGCCCUAGGAGCACAGGUGCAGGCAAUUCAUCUGCACAACAGGACAGAUGCACCCUGGGUAAACCUCUCCCUCAUUUAAGGGCCAGCAGCGAGGAGGGCAGUAUCUAUUUUUGGAGAUCUUUGUCUCUGGGAAGUUUUCAAUGGAAAUUCAUUUGGAAUAAGCAAGCAAUGGAAAACUAAGGAAAGAGGAAGAAUGCUGUAAGAAAUUCUACUUCAGCUUCAAUGAGGAAUUCAGAAGAAAUCAAAGGACAAGGAAAAAAAGAAGAAUCACUAAGAAUAAGUGGAUGUGGAUGUGCCCCAUUGCUUGCAGACUAGGCACGCGCUUGUGUAGAUGCGCCCCAUUGCAAGGUGCAACCUCCUGUGGACGUGCCUUUGUGUACAUGCACCCUGUUGCUGUUGAGGAUCUCCUGUAGACCUUAAUAUGUUUCUGCCAGUUAUUGCAGUUAACAGCUUUACUUCUCAUUGCUCAGUACUAUUGUGAAUUAGGCUUUAUUACUGCAUCCAAAUUAUUGUAACUUUAAGCUGUAUUAUAGUUUAUUCAUACAUUUAUUAUUUUAUUUUAUUAUAAUUCUCCUAAUGAACACUUAAAACUGUUGUUAAUCUACCCAAAAUCUUGUUUAUUCGAGCCUUUUAGAGCAUUUUCUGGAAAAUGUUUCAGUGAUAGGAUUGAUAAAAUACCUUGCUUUAACCAUUAUAGCUUUAUGUAAAAGACCCAAACCAGCCCUGCCCAAGGAAAUCUAGAUUCAAACGUACUACCAAAAAAAACACCACUAUAUUCUCUAUUUCCUUCUAUUGCUUGAUGGAACAGAUCUUAAAAGUACGAAGAAUCACCAACACAUACAGCAAAUACUGGAAAAUAUUAUACAAACUGUGUUGUUGAACCUGUAUUUUGCUCCUGGAGGUGGCCCUUUCAAAACACAGCUGAGUGUCUCUGCCAGCACUCGGUGCCAAGGCUGAAACUGCUUACUUUGUGUGUGUACUUGAUUUAAAAGUUUCCAGUACUGCUGACAUCUAGGAGUAUUUCUUUUCAGGAAGAAAUGCAAGAGAAAUCCUUAUUUUGGUAUUCCAUCUGAAAGAAGAGUUUUCAAACAACCAAAAAAACAGACAGAAAUUUCUAGAGUUGGAAAUCUCUUUUUACAGAGUUCCUAAGGGCCAAGGGUCUACAUGAGUUCAAACUAACAGCAUCCCGCUAUUAUCAGUUUUAAAUGAUGCUGAGUUUGUGGAUUACUGGUAUUAAUAAUGUUUAGCCAAAAAGGAAACUACAGCUUAUAGUCUUAUGGCUCACUUAUGU